rnacentral:rRNA from 1 species
CGCCUCUUGACAAAAAUAUAAGAGGUCCAGCCUGCCCAGUGACUUAGUUCAACGGCCGCGGUACCCUAACCGUGCGAAGGUAGCAUAAUCACUUGUUCUUUAAAUAGGGACUUGUAUCAACGGCAUCACGAGGGUUAUACUGUCUCCUUUUUCUAAUCAGUGAAACUGAUCCCCCCGUGAAGAAGCGGGGAUAAACUUAUAAGACGAGAAGACCCCAUGGAGCUUAAAACCAACUAUAUUAUUCUUCAUCCCAAAUCAUAUUAGUGUUAGAAUGCUAUAUAGUAGUUUUAGGUUGGGGGGAUCGUGGAGUAUAACUUAACCUCCUUGACAAACGGGCCCUGCCCUUAUUUAAGAAGUACCCUUCUAAAAAUCAACAAAUUGAUGUUUAAUGACCCAAAUUUUUGAUCAACGAACCAAGUUACCCUGGGGAUAACAGCGCAAUCUACUUCAAGAGUUCAUAUCGACAAGUGGGUUUACGACCUCGAUGUUGGAUCAGGAUAUCCAAGUGGUGCAGCCGCUACUAACGGUUCGUUUGUUCAUCGAUUAAAAUCCU